GACGAACCGUGCGAACGUUGUUCGGAAUCACUGGGCUUAAAGGGCGCGUAGGCGGCUUCGCAAGUCCGGGGUGAAAGCCCCCAGCUCAACUGGGGAAGUGCCUUGGAUACUGCGGGGCUCGAGGGAGGUAGGGGUGCGUGGAACUUCCGGUGGAGCGGUGAAAUGCGUUGAUAUCGGAAGGAACACCAGUGGCGAAGGCGACUACCUGGCCUGUUCUUGACGCUGAGGCGCGAAAGCUAGGGGAGCAAACGGG
rnacentral:rRNA from 1 species